rnacentral:rRNA from 1 species
GUGUCAGCAGCCGCGGUAAUACGUAGGGUGCAAGCGUUAAUCGGAAUUACUGGGCGUAAAGCGUGCGCAGGCGGUUGUGUAAGUCAGAUGUGAAAUCCCCGGGCUCAACCUGGGAAUUGCAUUUGAGACUGCACGGCUAGAGUGUGUCAGAGGGGGGUAGAAUUCCACGUGUAGCAGUGAAAUGCGUAGAUAUGUGGAGGAAUACCGAUGGCGAAGGCAGCCCCCUGGGAUAACACUGACGCUCAUGCACGAAAGCGUGGGGAGCAAACAGGAUUAGAUACCCCGGUAGUCC